GAAGUCGACUGCCGGCUCAGACCAGCUUGUCGUCUACGCGCAGCAGAUAGCCGAUCGCUCAUCUCAAAUAAACUUCUUAUACGGUCUCGAUGUGAGUGAGUGUUCGCACUUUGGUUUUAAAUACGUGGUGCCCGGGUGAUGCAGCCGAGUGACGGAGAUUCGUUUAGACGUCAGAUGCUAAGUUCUUUUGUGAGUUGAUUAGAGCUAUGCGCCGGCUAUCGGGUGCUGUCUACUGGAGUCUACUUCUCAUUCAUCUGUCACACAUAUGGGCGACGCACAUUGUUAUUUCAGAGCCGCAAUGCACUCACGAAUUUUCUAGCACGGAGGCAAAAACUGGUAACUUCUCUUCCCCUAAAGGGACGGACGGCACUUACCCUAACUACGCUGACUGCUAUUAUCGGUUUCACGGACGACCGCACGAAACGAUCCAGCUAUAUUUUCACACGUUUGAUCUGGAAGAGCCAGCAAAAGCAGGG